UGAGGAAUAUUGGUCAAUGGGCGAGAGCCUGAACCAGCCAAGUCGCGUGAGGGAUGACGGUCCUACGGAUUGUAAACCUCUUUUGUCGGGGAGUAAAGAGCGGCACGUGUGCCGCGUUGAGAGUACCCGAAGAAAAAGCAUCGGCUAACUCCGUGCCAGCAGCCGCGGUAAUACGGAGGAUGCGAGCGUUAUCCGGAUUUAUUGGGUUUAAAGGGUGCGCAGGCGGCAUGGCAAGUCAGCGGUCAAAUCCCGGGGCUCAACCCCGGUUCGCCGUUGAAACUGCCGCGCUAGAGUAUGUGCGAGGAGAGCGGAAUGCGUGGUGUAGCGGUGAAAUGCAUAGAUAUCACGCAGAACGCCGAUUGCGAAGGCAGCCCUCCAGCACACCACUGACGCUGAGGCACGAAAGCGUGGGUAUCGAACAGGAUUAGAUACCCUGGUA
rnacentral:rRNA from 1 species